CGACAAGCGGUGGAGCAUGUGGUUUAAUUCGAUGCAACGCGAAGAACCUUACCUGGGUUUGACAUAGCAGUGGUAGGGAAGCGAAAGCGGACCGACCUUCGGGGAGCUGUUACAGGUGUUGCAUGGCUGUCGUCAGCUCGUGUCGUGAGAUGUUCGGUUAAGUCCGCUAACGAGCGCAACCCGCGUUGUGUGUUACAAGUGUCACACAAUACCGCCGGUAUUAAGUCGGAGGAAGGUGCGGAUGACGUCAAGUCAGCAUGACCUUUAUAUCCAGGGCUACACACACGCUACAAUGGUCAGCACAAUAGGUUGCCAAGUCGUGAGACGGAGCCAAUCCUCCAAAGCUGGCCUCAGUUCAGAUUGUAGGCUGCAACCCGCCUGCAUGAAGUUGGAGUUGCUAGUAACCGCAGGUCAGCUGUACUGCGGUGAAUACGUUCCCGGGGAUU
rnacentral:rRNA from 1 species